rnacentral:rRNA from 1 species
CCUACGGGCGUCAGCAGUGGGGAAUAUUGCACAAUGGGGGAAACCCUGAUGCAGCGACGCCGCGUGAGUGAAGAAGUAUUUCGGUACGUAAAGCUCUAUCAGCAGGGAAGAACAUGACGGUAACUGACUAAGAAGCCCCGGCUAACUACGUGCCAGCAGCCGCGGUAAUACGUAGGGGGCAAGCGUUAUCCGGAUUUACUGGGUGUAAAGGGAGCGUAGACGGCAGCGCAAGGCUGGAGUGAAAUCCCAUGGCUUAACCAUGGAACUGCUUUGGAAACUGGGCAGCUAGAGUGCAGGAGAGGUAAGCGGAAUUCCUAGUGUAGCGGUGAAAUGCGUAGAUAUUAGGAGGAACACCAGUGGCGAAGGCGGCUUACUGGACUGUAACUGACGUUGAGGCUCGAAAGCGUGGGGAGCAAACAGGAUUAGAUACCCUGGUAGCC